rnacentral:rRNA from 1 species
AUUGAACGCUGGCGGCAGGCUUAACACAUGCAAGUCGAGCGAGCGGCGGACGGGUGAGUAAUGUCUGGGAAACUGCCUGAUGGAGGGGGAUAACUACUGGAAACGGUAGCUAAUACCGCAUACCAUCAGAUGUGCCCAUAUGGGUUUAGCUUGUAGGUGGGGUAAGGGCUCACCUAGGCGACGAUCCCUAGCUGGUCUGAGAGGAUGACCAGCCACACUGGAACGGAGACACGGUCCAGACUCCUACGGGAGGCAGCAGUGGGGAAUAGUGCACAAUGGGCGCAAGCCUGAUGCAGCCAUGCCGCGUGUGUGAAGAAGGCCUUAGGGUUGUAAAGCACUUUCAGCGAGGAGGCGUUACUCGCAGAAGAAGCACCGGCUAACUCCGUGCCAGCCGCCGCGGUAAUUC